GUAGUAGUUAGGAUUAAAAGCCUAACUAGCUAUACGCACGUAGUCGUAACUGAAAGGUUGAUCGACCACAGUGGGCCUGAACAAAGCCCAUGACGAUUGUCACAGCAGUGAGGAAUAUUGGUCAAUAGCCUAACGGCUGAACCAGCAACUUGGAGGAAUGUAUAGCAAUAGCUACUUGUAUCAUUGUAGAUAUGAUGCAGGAUCGACUAUGUCGAAUAAAAUUCUAGGUAGAAUUAUGAUAAUGACAUUGUCUGCCUAUGUGUCUUGACCAAAUUACGUGCCAGCAGUCGCGGUAAUACGUAGAAGACUAGUGUUAUUCAUGUUUAAUCGGUUUAAAGGGUACCUAGACGGUAAAUCAAGCCUACAAAUAAAAGAAAUGAAGGGACUAAUUUGCUAGAGUUACUUAUGAGGGGGUAUUAAAGUACUGCUGGUGUAGAGAUGAAAUUCUGUCAUACCUCUUUUCAAUAGAAAAAUAACGGCACAGGUAUAGGCGAAAGCAUCCCCUUAUGUGAUAACUGACGUUGAGGGACGAAGGCUUUGUGUAGCGAACAGGAUUAGAUACCCCAGUAGUCAAAGCAGAAAAUGAUGAAUGUCAUAGAUUAGAUAAAUAAGUUUAUUCUAUAAAUGAAAGUGUAAGCAUUCCACCUCAAGAGUAAUUUGGCAACAUUGGAACUGAAAUCAUUAGACCGUUUCUGAAACCAGUAGUGAAGUAUGUUGUUUAAUUUGAUGAUCCGCAAAAAACCUUACCACAAUUUGAAUAUUUAUAUCUUUUAUUGUUUUAUUUUUCUUAUGGUUUUAUUCCAGAUGGUGAUAAUUAUAUAAGAAAAUAGAGGCAAUAAGAUAUAUUUACAAGCGUUGCACGGCUGUCUUCAGUUAAUGUCGCNAGACUUUGGUUAGUUCCAUUAAAUUAACNNNNACCCUUACUUUAUUUUUAUAUAGAGUAGUUCCCCGCU
rnacentral:rRNA from 1 species